rnacentral:rRNA from 1 species
CCUACGGGAGGCACCAGUGGGGAAUAUUGGACAAUGGGCGAAAGCCUGAUCCAGCAAUGCCGCGUGUGUGAAGAAGGUCUUCGGAUUGUAAAGCACUUUCGACGGGGACGAUGAUGACGGUACCCGUAGAAGAAGCCCCGGCUAACUUCGUGCCAGCAGCCGCGGUAAUACGAAGGGGGCUAGCGUUGCUCGGAAUGACUGGGCGUAAAGGGCGCGUAGGCGGUUUAUGCAGUCAGAUGUGAAAUCCCCGGGCUUAACCUGGGAACUGCAUUUGAGACGCAUAGACUAGAGGUCGAGAGAGGGUUGUGGAAUUCCCAGUGUAGAGGUGAAAUUCGUAGAUAUUGGGAAGAACACCGGUGGCGAAGGCGGCAACCUGGCUCGGUACUGACGCUGAGGCGCGAAAGCGUGGGGAGCAAACAGGAUUAGAUACCCCUGUAGUC